rnacentral:rRNA from 1 species
UACGUAGGGUGCGAGCGUUAAUCGGAAUUACUGGGCGUAAAGCGUGCGCAGGCGGCGCGUUAAGACAGGUGUGAAAGCCCCGAGCUUAACUUGGGAAUUGCGCUUGUGACUGGCGUGCUGGAGUGUGGCAGAGGGAGGUGGAAUUCCACGUGUAGCAGUGAAAUGCGUAGAGAUGUGGAGGAACACCGAUGGCGAAGGCAGCCUCCUGGGCCAGCACUGACGCUGAGGAGCGAAAGCGUGGGGAGCGAACAGG